CCAGCACGGCUGAAUGUUCUCCCAGCUUCAUCCUGCGCUGUGUCGACAGGCUCACGUUCUUGGCCAAAUAAUCAACAGCAGCUGAAGAAGAGCAGGACAAACGUGUCCAUGACUUGCCACCUGGAUGUCUCUGGGCAUUGGGACACAUCUGGACUUACUCUACUGACCAUGCUGGCCCCCAAACAUCUGGCAGCCUCUGGACUAUAAACCAAGGCAGGAUUCUGUGAUUCAUCCAUUCUAUGAUUCUCCUGACUCCAAACCAAGCCCACUGGACUCAACCUCCAUCUCAGACCCAGACCUCUAAAUUGAAUGGGGUUCAACAGAAAAAAAGGGAGCUCUGUGACCCACAUGGGGAAAGGGGGCCAAGC